UUAGUCAAUGCCGAAAAAGAGGGCCUAGGUUUCAUUCAACAAAAAAAAGUGAUCGUAGUGGGUAUUUUUAACAAAGAAUGCUUUAAAAGGAUUUUUUUUUUACAAAAUGAGGCAUUUAAAAGGUUCCGACAAAUUUCAUGAAUAUAUAUUAUAUAAAAGGCCAGCCCAAUUUGUUAAAAGAUGUUUCGUUGCUAAAUUACCCAACAAUCUUAUCAUCUUCUUCCUCAAACUUGAAACCGCCAUAUUCCUCUGCUUCCUUCUUCGAAGUACUUGUUUUGUAUGAUGAAACCUCUACUACUAAUACUAUCUCUUGUAUAACUCAACUUCAAAUGUACAUCCACAAAAGAAUGGCAUUUACAACAGCUAAGUUAUCUGAAUUACCAUUGCGCAAUACCCUCCCUUUCACCUGCUCACACUCUUCUUCUUCCCCUUCUUCAAUCUUCAAAUCUCCUAAACAUUGUUUUUCUAUCCCAAUUACCUUUUCUUCUCUCAAAACUACACAAACCCACAAAAACCCACAUUCAAAUUCUUCCCAAAACCCUUCUAAAACCCCUAAUUCAGCUCCUUGGAUCAAGAAAUGGCCUUCAAUUGACCCUUCAACUGUUCAAAAUGAUGCUGACUUUGGUAAUUCUAGUAAAGGGAGUAGAAUUGUGGAGAAUAAAGGGAAGAGUGCAAUUGAGAGGAUUGUAAAUAGGUUGAGGAGUUUGGGUUUGGAAUCAGAUGAUGAGGAUAUGAGUGAUUUGGAUGAGGAGGGUUUUAGGGAGGAGGAGAAAUUGGGGGAUUUGUUGAAGAGGGAUUGGAUUAGGAAUGAUACUAUGUUGGUUGAAGAAGAGAAGAGGAGUGAUUAUGGGUUGUUGCCUUGGGAGAGGGAGGAGGGGGAGGAGGAGGAUGUGGGUGUGGUUAGGGAGGUGAGAACAAGUGAAAAGAAGGCGAAACGGGUUGUUAGAGGGAAUACAUUGGCUGAUUUGACGAUUGAGGAAUCGGAGUUGAAGAGAUUGAGAGGGCAAGGGAUGGUAUUGAGGGAUAAAGUUAAUGUGCCUAAAGCUGGACUUACUCAGGCUGUGUUGGAGAAGAUUCAUACAAAAUGGAAAAAAAAGGAGUUGGUUAGGUUGAGAUUUCAUGAAGAUUUAGCUCAUGAUAUGAAGACUGCCCAUAUUCUUGUAGAGCACCGAACUGGGGGUUUAGUCAUAUGGAGAUCGGGAAGUGUUAUGGUGGUUUACCGUGGAAAGAACUAUGAAGGCCCCCUACCUAAAUUAAAUCCAGAUACAUCAUCUGUAAAUAUAGCUGCAGUAAAUAAUGGGAAUGAUGCUGGUGCAUCAUUAGAAACUAUUUCACCACAAGUAAAAGCUCUGGAACAAUCUAGGAAUCUGACAGCUGAGGAAGUUGAAUAUAAUGAUCUUCUUGAUUGUUUGGGGCCUCGAUUUGUUGAUUGGUGGGGUACUGGAAUUCUUCCGGUUGAUGGUGAUUUGCUUCCUCAAACAGUUCCUGGUUUCAAGCCACCAUUGAGGUUACUCCCAACUGGGAUGCGGUUGGCAGUGACUAAUGCUGAGUUGACCACUUUACGAAAACUGGCCAAGUCACUUCCUUGUCAUUUUGCUCUUGGUAGAAAUAGACAUCAUCAGGGCUUGGCAGCUGCUAUAAUUAAGCUUUGGGAAAAGAGUUUAGUUGCAAAGAUUGCUGUAAAACGAGGAAUUCAGAACACUAACAAUGAGCUGAUGUCAGAGGAGUUGAAGGCACUCACGGGAGGCACCUUGCUGCUGCGAAACAAGUAUUUUAUUGUUAUAUAUCGUGGAAAAGAUUUCCUUCCACGUAGUGUGGCUGCUGCUGUUUUGGAAAGACAGGAACUCACAAAAAAGAUCCAAGAUGCUGAAGAAACUGCACGAAUUGGUUCAUAUGUGGCACCUACAACUUAUGAAGCUGAAGAUGCCCCUGCUGGUACACUAGCUGAGUUCUAUGAAGCCCAAGCCAGAUGGGGCAGAGAAAUAUCAGCUGAAGAACGAGAAAAGAUGAUAGAAGAAGCUUCCACUGCUAAAAGUGUGAAAGAGGUCAAGCGAGUUGAGCAUAAAUUAGCUCUGGCCCAGUCAAAAAAGCUCAGAGCAGAGACGUUGUUAGCAAAAAUAGAAGCAUCAAUGGUACCUGUUGGUCCGUCUGAUGACCUGGAAACAAUCACUGAUGAGGAAAGGUUUACUUUUCGCAGGAUUGGCUUAAGCAUGAAAGCAUACUUGCCUCUUGGUAUCCGUGGUAUUUUUGAUGGUGUAAUUCAAAAUAUGCAUUUGCAUUGGAAACAUAGAGAACUAGUCAAGCUAAUCACCAAACAGAAGACCCUUGCCUUCGUAGAGGAAACAGCUAGACUAUUGGAGUAUGAAAGUGGUGGCAUAUUGGUCGCUAUAGAACGGGUGCCAAAAGGUUAUGCUAUCAUAUAUUACCGUGGAAAGAAUUAUCAGAGGCCUGUUAGCUUGAGGCCAAGAAAUUUGUUGACAAAAGCAAAAGCAUUUAAACGUGCAAUUGCAAUGCAGCGGCAUGAGGCCCUUAGUCAGCACAUAUCUGAAUUGGAGAGUAGCAUAGAACAGAUGAAAAACAGUGGUGAUAGUAAAUCUACAGAAGAUGGAAAGGCCUCCAGCUUUAAUGUUGAAUUUGGUUCAGACUCAGAAAUCAGCCAUGGUCUCUCGAUGAUUAAUACAGAUUCUGGUGAUGAGGAAGAUGAUGAAGAAGAUGAUGACUUCAAUGACUCUGAUGAUGACUUUGAUUAUUCUGAUGACGAUUCCAAUGAGUUCACAAGUAUUGAGGAUCUGGAUUAAUCCUUCCGUUAAAGUGCUGCAAAACUAUAUUUCUUAUUGGAUGACUUGUAUGAAAGGACUCAAAUUAAGCUAAAGUGUUUCAUGUAGAUUGCUGAGCGAGUUGCUUGUAUCUACUAGGACUGCAUCCCUCUAUAAUCAUAUUCACUGCAAAACCAAUUUUAUGAGGGCUUCCAUAAUAUCAACUAAUUACUUAAGAGAAUUCGAUAUCAUCUUAUAGAAUCCUGCAACAUACUUGGCCUCAACCCUCAAGCCUCGAACUUGCCAACUGUGAAAGCAAAUCGAGUAGCUAAUAUGGCUGCAUCUAUUUCCAGAUCGUUGAGAGACUAUACCCGGUCAAUUUGUAAUUUAAAUCUUCUAUACUUUUGAGACAAACUAGAUUUCUAAAUUUAAUUUUCUUCCCUUUGUAAUUUAGAUUAUUCUGUAUUUUUAGAUAAAUUCUGUAUAUGUACCACCGAGUGCCUUUGCAAAAUUGCAAGUGCACAAAAUUCACAAAUCUAUUAAUUAAAAGCCUCUUCAUCUA